rnacentral:tRNA from 1 species
GCCCGGUUAUCUCUAUCGGUAGAGCAUCAGGCUUUUAAUCUGAGGGCCAUGGGUUCGACACCCAUAACGGGCU